GUAGGGUGCAAGCGUUAAUCGGAAUUACUGGGCGUAAAGCGUGCGCAGGCGGUCCGCUAAGACAGAUGUGAAAUCCCCGGGGCUUAACCUGGGAACUGCAUUUGUGACUGGCGGGCUAGAGUAUGGCAGAGGGGGGUAGAAUUCCACGUGUAGCAGUGAAAUGCGUAGAGAUGUGGAGGAAUACCGAUGGCGAAGGCAGCCCCCUGGGCCAAUACUGGCGCUCAUGCACGAAAGCGUGGGGAGCAAACAGGAUUAGAUACCCUGGUAGUCCACGCCCUAAACGAUGUCAACUAGUUGUCGGGUCUUCAUUGACUUGGUAACGUAGCUAACGCGUGAAGUUGACCGCCUGGGGAGUACGGUCGCAAGAUUA
rnacentral:rRNA from 1 species